GACGAACGCUGGCGGCGUGCUUAACACAUGCAAGUCGAACGAGAAAGCCCUUCGGGGUAAGUACAGUGGCGAACGGGUGAGUAACACGUGGGCAACCUGCCCCAGAGAGCGGGACAACCCGGGGAAACCCGGGCUAAUACCGCAUGAUGCGUCUCCACUUAAGUGGAGCCGCCAAAUGGUAGCUUCGGCCUCCGCCCUGGGAUGGGCUCGCGCCGGAUUAGCUAGUUGGUUGGGGUAACGGCCCACCAAGGCGACGAUCCGUAGCUGGUCUGAGAGGACGAUCAGCCACACUGGGACUGAGACACGGCCCAGACUCCUACGGGAGGCAGCAGUGGGGAAUCUUGCGCAAUGGGCGAAAGCCUGACGCAGCAACGCCGCGUGGGGGAAGAAGGCCUUCGGGUUGUAAACCUCUUUCAGUAGGGACGAAGCUUCCGGGGUUAAUAGCCUACGGGGUGACGGUACCUACAGAAGAAGCCCCGGCUAACUACGUGCCAGCCGCCGCCGUAA
rnacentral:rRNA from 1 species